GGCCACAGAAGGCAGGACGCCCUGACCAUGUCCACCAUGGCCUGGUCCCCUCUGCUCCUCACCCUGGUCGCUCUCUGCACAGGAUCCUGGGCGCAGGCUGUGCUGACUCAGCCGUCCUCUGUGUCCGGGUCUCCGGGCCAGAGGGUCAGCAUCACCUGCUCUGGAAGCAGCAACAACAUUGGUUACGGUUAUGUGGCCUGGUACCAACAGCUCCCAGGAUCAGCCCCCAGAACCCUCAUGUAUGGUACUAACAGUAGAGCCUCGGGGGUCCCCGACCGAUUCUCUGGCUCCAGGUCUGGGAACACAGCCACCCUGACCAUCAGUUCGCUCCAGGCUGAGGACGAGGGGGAUUAUUACUGUUCAUCUGUUGACAGUAGUAGUUAAAAUGGCACAGUGCUCCAGGCCAGGG